GAAUGCUUUACUGAUGAAAUUUGCAUGCAGUGGCGAUGAGAGCAGUGUCUUUGACUGCAACCAGACACCAUUCGGAAUAGAAAAUGUCUGUAAAAACUCGGACGUUGACUGCAGUGAAUCACCUUCUGUUUAUAUUAUGCCCGACAAAGAAACGUACCCGAUGACGGAGGGAAAAAAACAUAGUUCUAAAAUGUUGGAUCUUAUACAAAUAUCAACCAGCGAAUGAAUAUACCUGGAUAGAGACAGCAAAUGGUCAACCGUCUGGUGCCGAUCUAAUUUUUGACAAUCUGACCAGAAGCCACAAUGGACGCCGUGUGAAAUGCACGGCCAGCUUUACAGUCGAUGGUCAAAAUAUUCGCGUGUCUAGUGAGGCGCUGGUACUGCAGGUGUAUUAUAAACCUCUCAUAAGAGUAACUCGCAAUGACAGCGUGACAACAUCAAAGCAGAAUUAUAUGGAUCCUUCAAAAAUAACACCAGGAGCAAAUAUUAUCUUUUGGUGUGAAGCUGACAGCAAUCCCCCUCCUGAGUCCAUCACGUGGUCUGGUAGAGUAAACAGUACUACUGGACAAUUACAGAUCACA